AACGAACGCUGGCGGCAGGCCUAACACAUGCAAGUCGAACGCUCCGCAAGGGGAGUGGCGCACGGGUGAGUAACACGUGGGAACCUACCUUCUGGUACGGAACAACCAAGGGAAACUUUGGCUAAGACCGUAUACGACCUCCGGGUGAAAGAUUGAUCGCCGGAAGAGGGGCCCGCGUCCGAUUAGGUAGUUGGUGAGGUAACGGCUCACCAAGCCUUCGAUCGGUAGCUGGUCUGAGAGGAUGACCAGCCACACUGGGACUGAGACACGGCCCAGACUCCUACGGGAGGCAGCAGUGGGGAAUAUUGGACAAUGGGCGCAAGCCUGAUCCAGCCAUGCCGCGUGAGUGACGAAGGCCUUAGGGUUGUAAAGCU
rnacentral:rRNA from 1 species